CAGCUCUAUAUUUCUUCGCGCCCUGAUGAAACUUACCAAUUCACAAAAUUAACGGAAUGCAUAGCUGAUAUAAAAAAUUGGAUGACCAGUAAUUUCCUACUACUAAAUUCAGAAAAAACAAAGAUUCUAAUUUUUGGAUCAAAAACUUCUUCACGUAAUAACCUAGAAUACUGUCUAACACUUGAUGGCUGCUCUGUUAAGUCUUCGUCGUCAGUUAGGAACCUGGGUGUGCUCUUUGAUACCAAUCUUUCAUUUGAAGGCCAUGUUACUAGCAUCUGUAAAACCGCAUUCUUCCAUCUUAAAAAUAUAUCUAAACUACGACAUAUGCUCUCAAUGAAAAAUGCAGAACAGUUAGUUCAUGCGUUCAUGACCUCAAGGCUAGAUUACUGUAACGCUCUACUGGGUGGUUGUUCUGCUCGCCUGAUAAAUAAACUACAGCUCGUACAAAAUGCAGCAGCUAGAGUUCUUACUAGAACCAGGAAGUAUGACCAUAUUAGCCCAGUUCUGUCAACACUGCAUUGGCUUCCUGUUAAACAUCGUAUAGAUUUUAAAAUCUUGCUAAUUACUUACAAAGCACUAAAUGGUUUAGCUCCCCAGUACCUGAGCGAGCUCCUAAUUCAUUAUAGUCCUUCACGUCUAUUGCGAUCUCAGAAUUCAGGCCAGCUGAUAAUACCUAGAAUAUCAAAAUCAACUGCAGGUGGUAGAUCCUUCUCCUAUUUGGCACCUAAACUCUGGAACAAUCUUCCUAGCAUUGUUCGGGAAGCAGACACACUCUGUCAGUUUAAAUCUAGACUAAAAACGCAUCUCUUUAACCUGGCAUACACAUAACACAUUACCAAUUUAUAUUUCCAAAUCCGUUAAAGGAUUAUUAGGCUGCAUAAAUUAGGUCAGCCGGAACCGGGAACACUUCCUAUAACACCUGAUGUACUCGUUACAUCAGAAGAAGAAUGGCAUCUACGCUAAUAUUAGUCUUUCUGUUUAUCCCGAGGUUCACCGUAGUCAACCGGAUCCGGGCCGUAUCCAGGUGAGACCAAGGACCUGCACCUUGACACGACCACAACGCAGCCCUGAAGUAUCAGCAGAGAUUGAGUCAACUAGAUCAUCCCCUGUGAAGGCCUCAUCGACACGACAGCCACGACACAGUUCCUCAACAACCGUCCAUACCGGCGUGAUGAAUACGAUCCUCAAUUGGAUGGAACUGAAUUAAAUACUUUUAAUGUUGCGAUCCUAUUGGACUUAUGAUAGCAACCUGAAUUGUAACAAAGCACUGUUGGCCAGAGGAGAACUGGCACCCCGACUAAGCCUGGUUUCUCCCAAGGUUUUUUUCUCCAUUUUAACACCAAUUUUCCACUUGUCUGCCACCUGAUGUCACCUGAUGGAGUUUGGGUUCCUUGCCGCUGUCGCCUCUGGCUUGCUUAGUUGGGGACACUUGACAUUUUGAUAUUCAACAGUGCUUUUGAUCUGCCUGCAUUGACACUAUUCUUUAAGAGCUGCUGUGCAGUCAAACAAUGUACCAGAUAUCAAUGUAAAGCUGCUUUGACACAAUCUACAUUGUAAAAAGCGCUAUAUAAAUAAAGGUGACUUGACUUGACUUGACCACCAGAGGGCUCCCUCACCUGAGUACUAACUACUCUACGGACUUCAUUUCCCAUACCUGGUCCUGAUUACCUACACACCUGAUUCCCAUCUCCUGGACUAUAAAAUACACACUCACACUAUCACCCAUUUGCCCGGCUGACAUUUUUAAGCGUUUUCCCUUGUGAUCUGUAUUCUUGUGUUUGGCCUUGGACUGUUUAUUCCUUUCUUGAUUGUUUGCUGCCUGCCCUGUUGAUUCUCUGCCUGGAUAUCUGGAUUUACUCUGCCUUGUCUGCCACCUGCCCUGACCCUUUGACUGUGCCUGUUUAUGAUUCUGCACUGUCUUGGAUAUUGUUAUUGCUGGUGAUUGACCUCUGCCUGUUUGACUACAAUUGUUUAAUAAAGCUGCACAUGGAUCCUA